rnacentral:rRNA from 1 species
GGAGUUUGGACCGUGUCUCAGUUCCAAUGUGGCCGAUCACCCUCUCAGGUCGGCUACUGAUCGUCGCCUUGGUGGGCCGUUACCUCACCAACCAGCUAAUCAGACGCGAACUCACCCCGAACCGGAUUUCUCCUUUGACCCCUGGACGAUGCCGCCCUGUGGUCUUAUGCGGUAUUAGCACCUGUUUCCAAGUGUUAUCCCCCUGUCCGGGACAGAUUGUUCACGCGUUACUCACCCGUCCGCCGCUAGAAUUACCACGAAUCCUGCCGAAGCUCUCAUCACAAUAAUCCCCGCUCGACUUGCAUGUGUUAGGCACGCCGCCAGCGUUCGUCCUCGAGCCACUGAUCAAACUACU